AAAAUAUUAUAUAAAUGUAAAAUGUUACCUGUAAUGUUUUGCUUUCAUUUGUUAGUCUACUUUAAAAAUCUAACAUGAUAUAAAUUAAAACCAUAAUCAUCUUUAAUGAGAUCGAAAAAAAUUGGGCAUUAAAAUUGAUAUUUUAGAAAACGAUAAGGACAAUUUAUGAAAGAUUUGUGUAAAAUUAUUAACUGCAACCCUUUUUUGUUUUACUAGUGGCACACACAGUCGUCGCCUCCAUAAUCAACCUCCGUUUCUCAAUCGCUUCUAACCAACAAAAUCAUCGGUCCGUCAUGUUUGACCGCCGGCGACGACCGUCAUAUUUGACCCCGGCGACGGCCACGACCUACAGAUUAUCCACCGAUUUUCAUUUGAUUUACAUGGCUUUCUCAAGAUCAACUGGUAUGUUUGAUUUUGAAGUAGAAAAGUUAAUUCGGCAAGAAUUUGUGUCGCGAUUCGAUUCAAAAUUCAUGUAUUGAUGAUGGAUGGAGACAACUUAUGAACACUUACAGGAUUAGUGUUAGUGUUGUUUAUCUUGUGGAUCGACAUCCAUGGAAAUAAUACAGAGCAUGCUUCUAAAAUCUAACAGUAUUUGGACCAAAGCAACUCAUAUCCAUGGCUUUCUUCAUUGAUUCCUCUUUUCCUCUCUUCACUCUGAAUUUACUAGUUGUAAUCACCGCCGACAAACAAUAAGAAAUUUUCGUAAGAGGUCUGUUCCACCGUGCAACACCUUGAUCUUUCAAUGCCUCAACCGAACCGAUGGUAGCGGCCACCACCCAAGAUUUCCUUACUGCAUCACUAAUCAUCCUCCCUCGUGUGUGAUUCCGUCGAUAGAAUCCGAUCGUGUUAGUGUGACUGUUUUGGUUUGGGAAUUGAGUGAAUGGGGUAUAAAUGGAGGGAGAGGGAGAUGCGCAUCAUGUGUUCGACGAAAUGACAAAAUGAAAAAUGCAGCUUUCAUGUCUUGUGGGUUGCUCCCACUUAGCCUUGGAAUUAAAGUUGAUUAAGUGAUCCAUGGAUUCUCUAUUGUGUUGUAUAUGUUUAUAUUCUCAUGUGAGUUAAUUUUCAAAUAAGACACUAGUAAAGAUGUUUAUUUUUUAUUAUGUAUAUAAAACAAAUUGUAACUAAUGUAUUGUACUUUUGAUGAAUGGGUUGAUCAUUAAAUUAA